GACGACCGCUGGCGGCGUGCCUAAUACAUGCAAGUCGAACGCAGUGGGGACGGGUGAGUAACACGUGGGUAACCUCCCAUCAGAGGGGAUAACACUUGGAAACAGGUGCUAAACCGAUACUGAUGUAUGAACACGCGGUGCAUUCGCUAGUUGGUGAGGUAACGGUUCACCAAGGCCACGAUGCAUAGCCGACCUGAUAAGGUGAUCGGCUACACUGGGACUGAGACACGGCCCAUACUCCUACGGGAGGCAGCAGUAGGGACUCUUCUGGAAUGGACGAAAGUCUGACCGAGCAACGCCGCGUGAGUGAAGAAGGUUGUCGGAUCGGAAAGCUCUGUUGUUAGAGAAGCGGUAUCUAACCAGAAAGCAACGGCUAACUACGUGCCAGCAGCCGCGGUAAUUC
rnacentral:rRNA from 1 species